GGUCAAGCGAACAAGUGCAUGUGGUGGAUGCCUUGGCGAUCACAGGCGAUGAAGGACGCGGUAGCCUGCGAAAAGCCCCGGGGAGCUGGCAAACAAGCUUUGAUCCGGGGAUGUCCGAAUGGGGAAACCCACUCCUUUUGGAGUAUCCAUGACUGAAUACAUAGGUCAUGUGAAGCGAACGCGGUGAACUGAAACAUCUAAGUAACCGCAGGAAAAGAAAUCAACCGAGAUUCCCAAAGUAGUGGCGAGCGAAAUGGGAUGAGCCUUGUACUCUUUAUUUGUAUUGUUAGCCGAACGCUCUGGAAAGUGCGGCCAUAGCAGGUGAUAGCCCUGUAGGCGAAAACAGUAUGAAAGAACUAGGUGUACGACAAGUAGGGCGGGACACGUGAAAUCCUGUCUGAAGAUGGGGGGACCAUCCUCCAAGGCUAAAUACUCGUGAUCGACCGAUAGUGAACCAGUACCGUGAGGGAAAGGCGAAAAGAACCCCGGGAGGGGAGUGAAAUAGAUCCUGAAACCGCAUGCAUACAAACAGUCGGAGCCUCUUUAUGGGGUGACGGCGUACCUUUUGUAUAAUGGGUCAGCGACUUACGUUCAGUAGCAAGCUUAACCGUAUAGGGCAGGCGUAGCGAAAGCGAGUCCGAAUAGGGCGUUCAGUUGCUGGGCGUAGACCCGAAACCAGGUGAUCUAUCCAUGGCCAGGAUGAAGGUGCGGUAACACGUACUGGAGGUCCGAACCCACUAACGUUGAAAAGUUAGGGGAUGAGCUGUGGAUAGGGGUGAAAGGCUAAACAAACCUGGAAAUAGCUGGUUCUCUCCGAAAACUAUUUAGGUAGUGCCUCGUGUCUCACCUUCGGGGGUAGAGCACUGUCAUGGUUGGGGGGUCUAUUGCAGAUUACCCCGCCAUAGCAAACUCCGAAUACCGAAGAGUGCAAUCACGGGAGACAGACAUCGGGUGCUAACGUCCGGUGUCAAGAGGGAAACAACCCAGACCGCCAGCUAAGGUCCCCAAAUAUGGCUAAGUGGGAAACGAAGUGGGAAGGCUAAAACAGUCAGGAGGUUGGCUUAGAAGCAGCCACCCUUUAAAGAAAGCGUAAUAGCUCACUGAUCGAGUCGUCCUGCGCGGAAGAUGUAACGGGGCUAAGCCAUAUACCGAAGCUGCGGAUGCGUGCUUGCACGCAUGGUAGGAGAGCGUUCCGUAAGCCUGCGAAGGUGCCUUGUAAAGGGUGCUGGAGGUAUCGGAAGUGCGAAUGCUGACAUGAGUAGCGAUAAAGGGGGUGAAAGGCCCCCUCGCCGUAAGCCCAAGGUUUCCUACGCAACGUUCAUCGGCGUAGGGUGAGUCGGCCCCUAAGGCGAGGCAGAAAUGCGUAGCUGAUGGGAAGCAGGUCAAUAUUCCUGCACCGUCGUUAGAUGCGAUGGGGGGACGGAUCGCGGAAGGUUGUCCGGGUGUUGGACGUCCCGGUCGCUGCAUUGGAGAAGGCGCUUAGGCAAAUCCGGGCGCAGGAUUCAAGGGUGUGGCGCGAGCGACUUCGGUCGCGAAGCAAUUGGAAGUGGUUCCAAGAAAAGCCUCUAAGCUUCAGUCUAACGAUGACCGUACCGCAAACCGACACAGGUGGGCGAGAUGAGUAUUCUAAGGCGCUUGAGAGAACUCGGGAGAAGGAACUCGGCAAAUUGGUACCGUAACUUCGGGAUAAGGUACGCCCUUGUAGCUUGACUGGCCUGCGCCAGGAGGGUGAAGGGGUUGCAAUAAACUGGUGGCUGCGACUGUUUAAUAAAAACACAGCACUCUGCAAACACGAAAGUGGACGUAUAGGGUGUGACGCCUGCCCGGUGCCGGAAGAUUAAAUGAUGGGGUGCAAGCUCUUGAUUGAAGUCCCGGUAAACGGCGGCCGUAACUAUAACGGUCCUAAGGUAGCGAAAUUCCUUGUCGGGUAAGUUCCGACCUGCACGAAUGGCGUAACGAUGGCCACACUGUCUCCUCCCGAGACUCAGCGAAGUUGAAGUGUUUGUGAUGAUGCAAUCUACCCGCGGCUAGACGGAAAGACCCCAUGAACCUUUACUGUAGCUUUGCAUUGGACUUUGAACCGAUCUGUGUAGGAUAGGUGGGAGGCUAUGAAACCGGAACGCUAGUUUCGGUGGAGCCGUCCUUGAAAUACCACCCUGGUUUGUUUGAGGUUCUAACCUUGGUCCGUGAUCCGGAUCGGGGACAGUGCAUGGUAGGCAGUUUGACUGGGGCGGUCUCCUCCCAAAGGGUAACGGAGGAGUACGAAGGUACGCUAGGUACGGUCGGAAAUCGUGCUGAUAGUGCAAUGGCAUAAGCGUGCUUAACUGCGAGACCGACAAGUCGAGCAGGUGCGAAAGCAGGUCAUAGUGAUCCGGUGGUUCUGUAUGGAAGGGCCAUCGCUCAACGGAUAAAAGGUACUCUGGGGAUAACAGGCUGAUACCGCCCAAGAGUUCAUAUCGACGGCGGUGUUUGGCACCUCGAUGUCGGCUCAUCUCAUCCUGGGGCUGUAGCCGGUCCCAAGGGUAUGGCUGUUCGCCAUUUAAAGAGGUACGUGAGCUGGGUUUAAAACGUCGUGAGACAGUUUGGUCCCUAUCUGCCGUGGGCGUUGGAUAUUUGAAGGGGGCUGCUCCUAGUACGAGAGGACCGGAGUGGACGAACCUCUGGUGUACCGGUUGUGACGCCAGUCGCAUCGCCGGGUAGCUAUGUUCGGAAGAGAUAACCGCUGAAAGCAUCUAAGCGGGAAACUCGCCUUAAGAUGAGAUAUCCCUGGAGGCUUGACCUCCUUGAAGGGUCGUUCGAGACCAGGACGUUGAUAGGUCGGGUGUGUAAGCGCAGUAAUGCGUUCAGCUAACCGAUACUAAUUGCCCGUAAGGCUUGAUCCU
rfam:Burkholderia multivorans ATCC 17616 genomic DNA, complete genome, chromosome 2.